rnacentral:misc_RNA from 1 species
UAAGAUUUGCAGACACACACACAAAAUUCUUCCGUCCCAACAAUUCAGCACCAGUUUUUAACGCCCAAGUCGGACGUUUUCUCCCUUUGAAACUCUCUUCAUACCCAACAUCUCCUCUCCUCAUCAUCCUCUCUCUCUAUCUUUUGCGGUGACCCCUCUCUUCCCCUUUUCUUCAGGGGUCGCCACUCCCUCCAAUUUGCCAAUUUUCUUCAAUUUUUCAAUUUCUCCUUCGCCGAAAUCCACACGCAGGAACUUUUUUUAUUUUUUAUUUUUUUCGUUUCUUCGAAUAAUCAGCCAUGUCGGAGAUGGCCAACACAGAUCCGGAAGGGAUUGACGGAGUUCGAAUGACAUGGAAUGUCUGGCCACGCACCAAAGUUGAAGCCAGCAAGUGCGUGAUCCCACUCGCCGCCUCCAUUUCUCUGAUCCGCCACCACCCUGAUAUCCCUACCCUUCCUUACACGCCUCUCCGCUGCAAGACUUGCUCCGCAAUCCUCAAUUCCUUCUCGCGCGUCGACUUUACUGCCAAGAUCUGGAUCUGCCCCUUUUG